GGGGGGCUUACCAUGCAAGGUCGAACGGGUAACAGAGAGUAGCUUGCUUCUCUGCUGACGAGUGGCGCACGGGUGAGUAAUAUAUAGGUAAUGUGCCCCUUGGACCGGGAUAGCCACUGGAAACGGUGAUUAAUACUGGAUACUCCUUUUAAUCAAAAGAUUAAUCGGGAAAUGGAUUCCGCCAAGGGAUCGGCCUAUAUCCUAUCAGGUAGUUGGUGAGGUAAGAGCUCACCAAGCCAAUGACGGGUAGCGGGUUUGAGAGGAUGAUCCGCCACACUGGUACUGAGACACGGACCAGACUCCUACGGGAGGCAGCAGUGAGGAAUAUUGCACAAUGGGGGCAACCCUGAUGCAGCAACGCCGCGUGGAGGAUGACGCAUUUCGGUGUGUAAACUCCUUUUAUAUGUCAAGAAAAUGACGGUAGCAUAUGAAUAAGCACCGGCUAACUCCGUGCCAGCAGCCGCGGUAAUACGGAGGGUGCAAGCGUUAUUCGGAAUCACUGGGCGUAAAGGACGCGUAGGCGGGUUGGCAAGUCAGAUGUGAAAUCCUACAGCUUAACUGUAGAACUGCAUUUGAAACUGCCGACCUAGAGUAUGGGAGGGGGAGAUGGAAUUAGUGGUGUAGGGGUAAAAUCCGUAGAUAUCACUAGGAAUACCGAAAGCGAAGGCGAUCUCCUGGAACAUAACUGACGCUAAGGCGUGAAAGCGUGGGGAGCAAACAGGAUUAGAUACCCUGGUAGUCCACGCCCUAAACGAUGUUCACUAGUCGUCGCUCUGCUAGUCAGGGCGGUGAUGCACUUAACAGAUUAAGUGAACCGGCCUGGGGAGUACGGGUCGCAAGAUUAAAACUCAAAAGGAAUAGACGGGGGACCCGCACAAGUGGUGGAGCACGUGGUUUUAAUUCCGAA
rnacentral:rRNA from 1 species